AUGCUUAUUUGUUUUGUUUUGCGGGCAUCUAUUAGAAAUGAUAUUUAUCUACUACUUGCAUGUUUUCUGAACUUUCUCUUGUAUUUUUCCGCACUCUCCUCACUCCCUCUUGUUUUGUGGGUGGUGGAAAAAGUGCAUGAAGUGCACAUGAACCGUAGCCAUGCUUGCUACCAACUAGAAGUGGCACCUGAAUGUAUGGCUCUAUUUGGACAAUGCCUGUGCUACGUUACAAAUUCUGUGCGCGCCAACAAUUUGGCGAACAAAUCUGCUGCCCUCGUUUUUCCAGCCAAAAAAUUAGUGUGGUUCUGCAAAUUGGAUCUCAAUCCAAACAUGGGCCUAUGGUACCUGUCAAUGCCAAUAUAUUGGAAGGGCAAGUCCUGGUGA
rnacentral:rRNA from 1 species